GUGCACCGAGAAUAUGUGACAGUUCCCUUUUCAUUCCUACCAUAUAGGAGGGGAGGAGAGUAUGUCAGGAGAAGUUCCUGAAGGGUUAAUGGCAAUGUGUUUGCUGAGGAUAUUUAAACCUUCCAUUUAAAGCUGAGCUUGAAAUUAUAAAACUCCUUCUCCAUCCAAGAAAUGAAAUUGCACUUUUCUGGCCUAAGGCCAGCGUCUCUGAACUGAAUGUAAACCAGGAAUAUUGCAAGAGGGCCUUCCAGUGAAACGAAAUUAAAUUGGCUUGGUCGAGCCAUUGGCUGGGAUGGUUCCAGUGGUACCCUCUGCAUGAGAGUCAGCGCGUAAACGAUGGAAAGGGAGGCCGGGCACCGGAGUUGUUUGAAUCUGCUAAAGCGCGAAGUUCCUACUUGAGUCAGCAAGAAGUUCUUGCUGCCUCUACGAAAAAAUAAUGAAACUUCUGCAGGAUUGAGAACCUUCUGUGUUUAAAAGGAGAAAUAUAUAUAUACACACACACUGAUGCAAUUAGAAAGGAAUUGAAGGAGAGAAGUGAGGCUAAACGAUUUUGUGCUAAUGAACCGAGUGAUGUGAUUGUUCUAAAAAAAUUGCAAUGGACAUGCAGGGAGAUAUACUGCGUUUGAACAGAAACUGUGGACCAGGUGAGAUUUCGAGGUUUUUUCUUUCCUGUCGUGCGGUAUCUAGCCGGAUGAUUUCCUACUGUUUAUGUUACAUUACAACGGAUUCUUUUCCUAUUAUUUAUUUUCUUGACAAAAAUACAAUAGUCACUUUGAAACCCCCUCCCCUCUCGCGCGCAAACACUCAUUUUACUGCAAAGUGGCGGAGGGGCUCUGAUACUAUGGCUCACUUUUAUGAUAAUAGAAAACUCUGAACGACAGUGAAAUAAAUACAUAUCUUGUAGUUA